AUGUCGGAUGGCAUCCUGGGACUGGGGUUUGUAGGGGAAGUGGCAGCAUCAGACACCUCAAGCCAGGACCCCACCAUCUUCCCCUUGGCCCACUGCUGCAAAGAUGAAAUCAAAGACUCCGUGACCCUGGGCUGCCUGGUGACUGGCAUCAUCCAGGGGCAAGUGUCCGUGAAGUGGGACACUGGUCCCCUGAACAGCAGUGAUGUGACUUUCCCUGCUACCCUCCACAAUUCCUCCAGCCUCUAUACCACCGUGAGCCAGGUGACUGCCUCAGGCAAGUGGGCCCAACAAAAGUUCACCUGCAGCGUGGUACAAGAACCAUCCAAAACCAGCCUCAAUAAGACCUUCACUGCAUGUUUCAGAGACAUAACCUCACCCACUGUGAAGCUCUACCACACAGCCUGUGACCCCCGUGGCAACUCCAAGUUCACCAUCCAGCUGCUGUGCCUCAUCACUGGCUACACCCCAGGGGACAUAAACGUCACCUGGCUCGUGAAUGGAGAGAAGACCCGGGGCCUCUACCCUACCACGGCCCUGCCCAAGCAGGAGGGCAAGCUGGCCUCCACCCACAGUGAGCUCAACAUCACCCAGGACCAGUGGGUUCCUGACAAGACCUAUGCCUGCCGCGUCACUCUCCACGGCAGGUCCUAUGAGUCCACUGCCCAGAGGUGCCUAGAUUCUGAACCCCGAGGAGUGAAUGCCUACCUCAUCCCACCCAGCCCCUUAGACCUGUAUGUCAACAAGGCGCCUAAGCUCACAUGCCUGGUGGUGGACCUGGCCAGUGAAGAUGGGGUGAAAGUGAUCUGGUCCCGGGACAGGGGGACUGCUGUGCAUGCUGACCAACAUACUGCCAAGAAGCAACACAAUGCAACAGUUAGCGUCACGUCCACCCUGCCAGUGGACACCAGGAAUUGGAUUGAGGGUGAGACCUACCAUUGCAUAGUGUCCCACCCACACCUGCCCAAGAAGAUUGAGAGGUCUAUCAACAGAACCCCCGGCAAGCGUUUGCCCCCCGAGAUCCACUUGUUCAAGCCACCUGAGACGCAGAGGAACAAGGACAGGCUCACCCUUACCUGUCUAGUCCAGAACUUCUUCCCCCCUGACAUCUCGGUGCAGUGGCUGUGCAAUGAGAGGCUCGUGCCUUCGGACCAGUUCUACAUCGCAGAGCCCCAACCAGCUAGCGGCUCCAGCCGCGCCUUCUUCACCUUCAGCCUCCUGGAGGUCAGCAAGUCUGAAUGGGAGCAGCAGCAGUUCACCUGCCGUGUGGUCCAUGAGGCACUGUCUGAACCAAGAACUCUCCAGAAAUCGGUGUCGAUUAAAGACUCCGGUAAUUGACACCCUCCUGUCCUACCCCUCCCAGGCCCUGUCUCCUGGGGUGGAGUGGGAGGGUGGGGAAGUAGGGGAACUGCCAGACUCUCCAUCUGCUAUGUAACAACCCUGGGAAGCCACCCCAAUAAACACCGGGAGCCUGCUGAGA